CACGCUUUGCCCCAUGCGGAGAGAUGUGAAGUCAAUGAUGUGUCGUGCAAUAAUGGAGUCACAUUUCUGCCUCAUUUGUGCGGCCAAAAACUCCCGGCAACUCGCAGCUCGUCUCCGCUCGCGCGCCUCGCCGCAUCCCGUCCGCGCACGCACAACCUCGCAAGCAGCCGUGACGCGCGGGAGGAGGGAGAACGCGGAGGUCAGAGAAAAAAGGAGGCUCCUGACGGAAGGAUGCAUGUGGGGGCAGAGACAAAGCACCUGGCUGAAAAGGUGAGUCACAGAAGCAGGUAAUUGCUCUGACAUUUACUUCUAAUGAAGGAUUGGGACGAUAAUGGGACCUAUUUGCAUUAGUAGAAAAAAACACACACACACACACACACACACGUAGAGGCAACAAACGCACACAUGCACACUUAAAGAGUCCUCCUCAACACUUAGCACAGUGCAAAGCUGCGCUCCAGAGCCUGACUCACACACAUUACGCGCCAAUGCGGAGGAGGGAGAAAGUGCAUCGAGGCCUCAGACGAGACGACGGUGAAGAGGACGAGCGCGGCGCAGCGGGGACGAAGGACAGGAGGGGAGACGAGGGGAGAGAGGUCACCGACGCGGGAGACGCUGGUGAGAUUACUUGCAAACACCCGUCAGACAGUUGGCGAAGGAAUAGAAAGCGAGUUCAAAGUGUGGUCUAGAAACCCGCUCCGUCCACGGGACGAGGGGAGAAUUCUCGCCAGCAAAACAAAGAGUUUCCAACAACAUUUCCAGUUGCUCUCUGAUUGUAUUUAUUGGAAAAAAAGGUGACUGGUAAGACGUCGCGCAUCGAAACGGGGGGUUUCCCCUGUCACCGGUCGGCGCAUUUGCAUGUGUGUGUCUGUGCGCGUGUGAACGUGUGUGCGUGCCCGGAGCUCAUCAGCAUGUUUAAGUUCACAUCUGAUGUCACCGUGCUUCCCCUCGGCGAAAAGGGAUGAUUGUGGUUUAUCACUGAGUCACUUCAUCACUGUGGUUUCCCUCUCUAUCAGAUACAACCGCGCGUGUGUGUGUGUGUGUGUGUGUGUGUGUGUGUGUGAAAGGGACGGCGAGAACAAUAAGAAGACGAUGACCAGAGGAGUGAGGGCCUUCUCGGGGGCAGACGGAUGCGAGGCGGCUUGUCCUAAACGUUGGGACACGGCGCUCGACCCCCCGCAGCCUCGCCUCUCACUCGCUUUCACUUUGUUCCUCCAGAGGCUUUUUUUGUUGUUGUUGUUGUUGUUUUUGUUGUCUUUUUUUCAGUUCUUGUACCCACACACCGAAUAACACAAAGCACAAAGAAACCCUCGUUUAGUUAACCUUUGUCAGAGUUUUGAUGUUUUUGACACACUGUAAAACGCCCAUGUGGCUUUUUUUUUGGGGGGGGGGGGAAUUCUGCCUUUGAAUUUCCUGCUCUUUUGUUCGGAACCCCUCAACCACCAGCAGCUGAUUGUCAGCUCGUGCAGAGAUCACAGUGACUGUGACGGUGUAUUAACAAGAGAAAAAGAGCGAGAAAUGUGUGUGUCGAUAUAGAGAGAGAAAUCUGCCGAAUGCACCGGCGCAGCCCACAAGCCCCAGAAACCUCUCCUGUUGCUCUGGUAACAACAAGGACGGAUUCAGACCCAUUUUCUCCCCCCCCUCCCCUCCCCUCUCUCUCUCUUCCAGGUGUUUUGUGUGACCGUCUUGCAAAGGCAGGACGGGGAUCUCUGCUCUUUCGUUCAGUCAAGGUGUUCUGUGGGAGCCGCAAGACGUGAUGCUCGAAUCCUGUGGAAAAAGAGGUGUUUCUUUAAAAAAAAGAAGAAAAAAAAAAUGUCAACGGCUGAAAAGCACAAAGAGCAAAACAGACGCGGCCUUGGGAACCGAGAGGAAAAAAUAUAGUUUUUUUUAAAAAUGAAGUGAGAGGCGGUAAGACAGUUAGAAAAAAAAAAAAGAAAAGAAAAGUGAGAGCGAGAAAGAAAGAAGUGCAUUUCCCCGACAUGAGUCACUUCUGAGUGAAAGCUUUGUAAUUUAAGCCGCACGCAGCGAAAGAAAGAACGAAAGAGGGACAGAUGCAGCGGCACCGACGUGGAGAGACGUGGACAUUUACCCAACGCCGACAACAGCAGCACCGUGCGUUCCUGACGUUACAAAACCAUCUGGGUUAAUUCCAAUUUAAAACAGUGCCACAGAACAGGUGGACUCCACAUUAACUGCACGUUGGCGUUCCUCUAAAGUGGAUGUGGUCCACGGUGUCUCUCACACUUCAACCACCACAUCCUCCCGUGGAGCUUCAUUUAUGCACAUUGAAAAGACAAGCGGACGCCGACAGGACGCAGUUUGUCAUUUCGGAUCAUGGUUGUAAUUGUUAUGUAAUUGUUAUAAUGUUUAAUGCGAAAAAGUUCCAGCGAGUGUCCCCGAAUGUCUUCGGGCAGGACUUAGUCAAGUAUCAAGUAUCAAGAGUCAAAUAUUGACAGUGGGACCAUUUUCGACAAGGAAGUAAUAUCUCGUAUGGAAAGUUUCCGUCGAGGGCUUUCUAGAUAAAUAGAAACCAAUGCGUGUCAAUGCGACGAUAACUGGCGUAAUCAACUGAAUCAACGGGUUUAACAGUGGAGGCGUGUCUGCAGACAAUAAUACAGAUAAGCUCAAUAAUACAGAUAAGCCUUAAUUGUUUGUUUUUGUACUCAACACGGCAAAAUUGAUUCUGCUUUAAUGUCAGUUCUUGUAUUUAUUGUAUCUUUGUUGAUGAGUUUGCCAGAAGUUUUAUACCUGAUAACCGUUCCGAUGUCUCCGUACUGGAUGCAAAUACCACUUUAUAUAUUAAAUAC
ensembl:lncRNA